rnacentral:rRNA from 1 species
AUUGAACGCUGGCGGCAUGCCUUACACAUGCAAGUCGAACGGCAGCGGGCCCUUCGGGGUGCCGGCGAGUGGCGAACGGGUGAGUAAUGCAUCGGAACGUACCCGGGAGAGGGGGAUAACCGGCAGAAAGGCUGGCUAAUACCGCAUGAACUCGGAAGAGCAAAGCGGGGGACCUUCGGGCCUCGCGCUCUCGGAGCGGCCGAUGUCCGAUUAGGCUAGUUGGUGGGGUAAAGGCCCACCAAGGCGACGAUCGGUCGCGGGUCUGAGAGGACGAUCCGCCACACGGGGACUGAGACACGGCCCAGACUCCUACGGGAGGCAGCAGUGGGGAAUCUUGGACAAGGGGCGCAGGCCUGAUCCAGCAAGGCCGCGUGGGUGAAGAAGGCCUUCGGUUUUUAAAGCCCUUUCGGCGGGGAAGAAAUCGGUCAGGCGAAUAGUCUGGCCGGAUGACGGUACCCGCAGAAGAAGCACCGGCUAACUACGUG